rnacentral:lncRNA from 1 species
AGUAGGAGUUGUGCAAGUGAUCCUUGGAUUUGAGAUCACUAUAGUACCUUAUGUAUAUGAAUCUAUAUUUUGGUUUACUUCUUAACUUAGUUCUUUGAUCCUUGUAUGGAGUGCUCUGGAUGUGGUAAAGUGUGCAUGGAGGUUGUGAGUAGUCAAUAAGACAUCGGUCACUUCUAAUAAGAGGAGCGAACAUCCUAUGUUAUCUUAUAGGUUGAUAAUUUUAAAAGUCUUUGAUUAAAGCAGGAUGAUAAUUAGAAAGAUAUUUCUAAUGUAUCAUCAACUAAAUCA